CAUGUAGGCGGAUUGUUAAGUCUGGUGUGAAACGCCCGGGGCUCAACCCCGGAAGUGCAUUGGAUACUGGCAAUCUUGAGUAUGGGAGAGGAAAGUGGAAUUCCGAGUGUAGGAGUGAAAUCCGUAGAUAUUCGGAGGAACACCAGUGGCGAAGGCGGCUUUCUGGACCAAUACUGACGCUGAGAUGCGAAAGCGUGGGGAGCAAACGA
rnacentral:rRNA from 1 species